rnacentral:lncRNA from 1 species
AUGAGAAUUCCUAAGAUUUCUGUACAGCCUAGUAAAAUGGAAAGAACAUUACAUGAUCAAGCAAGCAAAAGAAACACUGUCUCUUCUCACCAUAGCAUUUCAUCAAAAUUCAUUUCCCCUAUGAUGGCUGUCAAGAAUCAAUUCCAAGAGCUGAUCCACAAGAUACUAUGGACUUGGUUGAUUAACCUUCUAACAGGUCUGCUGUGUGGAAUCUAUUUCCUCCAGAAAAUAGUCUGGUUGCUGUGUAAAUGACUGCUGGGCAAACCAACUUCAUCCAGAGCCCAGUAUUCCUUCACAAUCUUCUCUAACUUCCACAUUGUACGGAAUUCACUGCUUUCCUCCCUGCUCUUCAGCUCUCCUAUGACUGAUUUCAGUAUGGCUGCUCAUGCAUGGGAAGGAUCAAAUCUCUCUUCACUGAUAAAGUAUUGAUCUUUCUAUCAACAUUCAGCUCAAAAUGAACUUCAGAAAAAGUUUCUUCUUCGAAGAUUUCCCUCAUCUUCCUUCAGUGGCCUCGGAAAAUAAAGAGCGCUCUCCAUCCA